AUCAUAAGGGGGUCUCAUUGGGGGGUUCCGAUCCCGGAUCCCGCUUACUGUUUUGUCAGAUUCCCGUAUCCCGCUUACACUAUGUACGUAAGCAAUUCUGAUUUUUUUUGUCAUUUCCCGGGUCCCGCAAGACCUCAUUUCCCGUUUUCACGCCACAAUAAUUUGACUUUCACGUGUCACGCUUACAAAAGAUCGGCAAUCCCGCGUCACGCUUAGACCCCAAUGAGACCCACUCAUAAG
rnacentral:lncRNA from 1 species